CACGGGGGGAGCAAGCGUUGUUCGGAAUCACUGGGCGUAAAGGGCGUGUAGGCGGUUUGGUAAGUGGAAUGUGAAAUCCCCCGGCUUACCCGGGGACCUGCAUCCCAUACUGCCAAGCUUGAGUACGGGAGAGGAUGAGGGAAUUCCUGGUGUAGCGGUGAAAUGCGUAGAUAUCAGGAGGAACACCGGUGGCGAAAGCGCUCAUCUGGCCCGAUACUGACGCUGAGGCGCGAAAGCUAGGGGAGCAAACGGG
rnacentral:rRNA from 1 species